AAAAAAGGUAAGCUACUAAGAGCGAAUGGUGGAUGCCUUGACUGGUAAAGGCGAUGAAGGACGUACUAGACUGCGAUAAGCUACGGGGAGCUGUCAAGAAGCUUUGAUCCGUAGAUUUCCGAAUGGGGCAACCCAAUGUAUAGAGAUAUACAUUACCUAUAUAGGAGCGAACGAGGGGAAUUGAAACAUCUUAGUACCCUCAGGAAAAGAAAUCAAUAGAGAUUGCGUCAGUAGCGGCGAGCGAAAGCGCAAGAGGGCAAACCCAGUGCUUGCACUGGGGGUUGUAGGACUGCAAUGUGCAAGAGCUGAGUUUAGCAGAACAUUCUGGAAAGUAUAGCCAUAGAGGGUGAUAGUCCCGUAUGCGAAAAACAAAGCUUAGCUAGCAGUAUCCUGAGUAGGGCGGGACACGAGGAAUCCUGUCUGAAUCCGGGUCGACCACGAUCCAACCCUAAAUACUAAUACCAGAUCGAUAGUGCACAAGUACCGUGAGGGAAAGGUGAAAAGAACUGAGGUGAUCAGAGUGAAAUAGAACCUGAAACCAUUUGCUUACAAUCAUUCAGAGCACUAUGUAGCAAUACAGUGUGAUGGACUGCCUUUUGCAUAAUGAGCCUGCGAGUUGUGGUGUCUGGCAAGGUUAAGCAAACGCGAAGCCGUAGCGAAAGCGAGUCUGAAUAGGGCGCUUAGUCAGAUGCUGCAGACCCGAAACGAAGUGAUCUAUCCAUGAGCAAGUUGAAGCUAGUGUAAGAACUAGUGGAGGACUGAACCCAUAGGCGUUGAAAAGCCCCGGGAUGACUUGUGGAUAGGGGUGAAAGGCCAAUCAAACUUCGUGAUAGCUGGUUCUCUCCGAAAUAUAUUUAGGUAUAGCGUUGUGUCGUAAUAUAAGGGGGUAGAGCACUGAAUGGGCUAGGGCAUACACCAAUGUACCAAACCCUAUCAAACUCCGAAUACCUUAUAUGUAAUCACAGCAGUCAGGCGGCGAGUGAUAAAAUCCGUCGUCAAGAGGGAAACAACCCAGACUACCAGCUAAGGUCCCUAAAUCUUACUUAAGUGGAAAACGAUGUGAAGUUACUUAAACAACCAGGAGGUUGGCUUAGAAGCAGCCAUCCUUUAAAGAAAGCGUAAUAGCUCACUGGUCUAGUGAUUUUGCGCGGAAAAUAUAACGGGGCUAAAGUAAGUACCGAAGCUGUAGACUUGCACACAACUUAGAUUAUUUAAGUUUAGAAUAUGAGAAACUAAGUUAUAUGUUUAGUUAUAUUUUUACUGAUUUUUAUAGAGUAAAGAUAGAAAUAAAACUUAGUAAAAUCAGUAAAAAUAUUCUUAGACUAAAGUUAAGUAGUUUAAGUUGUGUGCAAGUGGUAGGAGAGCGUUCUAUUUGCGUCGAAGGUAUACCGGUAAGGAGUGCUGGAGCGAAUAGAAGUGAGCAUGCAGGCAUGAGUAGCGAUAAUUAAUGUGAGAAUCAUUAACGCCGUAAACCCAAGGUUUCCUACGCGAUGCUCGUCAUCGUAGGGUUAGUCGGGUCCUAAGUCGAGUCCGAAAGGGGUAGACGAUGGCAAAUUGGUUAAUAUUCCAAUACCAACAUUAGUGUGCGAUGGAAGGACGCUUAGGGCUAAGGGGGCUAGCGGAUGGAAGUGCUAGUCUAAGGUCGUAGGAGGUUGUACAGGCAAAUCCGUAUAACAAUACUCCGAGAACUGAAAGGCUUUUUGAAGUCUUCGGAUGGAUAGAAGAACCCCUGAUGCCGUCGAGCCAAGAAAAGUUUCUAAGUUUAGCUAAUGUUGCCCGUACCGUAAACCGACACAGGUGGGUGGGAUGAGUAUUCUAAGGCGCGUGGAAGAACUCUCUUUAAGGAACUCUGCAAAAUAGCACCGUAUCUUCGGUAUAAGGUGUGGUUAGCUUUGUAUUAGGAUUUACUCCGAAAGCAAGGAAACUUACAACAAAGAGUCCCUCCCGACUGUUUACCAAAAACACAGCACUCUGCUAACUCGUAAGAGGAUGUAUAGGGUGUGACGCCUGCCCGGUGCUCGAAGGUUAAUUGAUGGGGUUAGCAUUAGCGAAGCUCUUGAUCGAAGCCCGAGUAAACGGCGGCCGUAACUAUAACGGUCCUAAGGUAGCGAAAUUCCUUGUCGGUUAAAUACCGACCUGCAUGAAUGGCGUAACGAGAUGGGAGCUGUCUCAAAGAGGGAUCCAGUGAAAUUGUAGUGGAGGUGAAAAUUCCUCCUACCCGCGGCAAGACGGAAAGACCCCGUGGACCUUUACUACAGCUUGACACUGCUACUUGGAUAAGAAUGUGCAGGAUAGGUGGGAGGCUUUGAGUAUAUGACGCCAGUUGUAUAUGAGCCAUUGUUGAGAUACCACUCUUUCUUAUUUGGGUAGCUAACCAGCUUGAGUUAUCCUCAAGUGGGACAAUGUCUGGUGGGUAGUUUGACUGGGGCGGUCGCCUCCCAAAUAAUAACGGAGGCUUACAAAGGUUGGCUCAGAACGGUUGGAAAUCGUUCGUAGAGUAUAAAGGUAUAAGCCAGCUUAACUGCAAGACAUACAAGUCAAGCAGAGACGAAAGUCGGUCUUAGUGAUCCGGUGGUUCUGUGUGGAAGGGCCAUCGCUCAAAGGAUAAAAGGUACCCCGGGGAUAACAGGCUGAUCUCCCCCAAGAGCUCACAUCGACGGGGAGGUUUGGCACCUCGAUGUCGGCUCAUCGCAUCCUGGGGCUGGAGCAGGUCCCAAGGGUAUGGCUGUUCGCCAUUUAAAGCGGUACGCGAGCUGGGUUCAGAACGUCGUGAGACAGUUCGGUCCCUAUCUGCCGUGGGCGUAAGAAGAUUGAAGAGAUUUGACCCUAGUACGAGAGGACCGGGUUGAACAAACCACUGGUGUAGCUGUUGUUCUGCCAAGAGCAUCGCAGCGUAGCUAAGUUUGGAAAGGAUAAACGCUGAAAGCAUCUAAGCGUGAAGCCAACUCUAAGAUGAAUCUUCUCUAAGCUCUCUAGAAGACUACUAGUUUGAUAGGCUGGGUGUGUAAUGGAUGAAAGUCCUUUAGCUGACCAGUACUAAUAGAGCGUUUGGCUUAUCUUUAAUAAAGCAU
rnacentral:rRNA from 1 species